CGAUUUAAAAGUCGUAACAAGGUUUCCGUAGGUGAACCUGCGGAAGGAUCAUUAACGAUCGAUGGUGGAGUCCGUCUCCCGUGUGAACUGUACUUGAAUUGCUAUCUUGCGAUACGUUUGGGGGGGUCGACCCAGCGGUCGUCAAAUGCUGUGUGCGUAGCAGUCAGCCCCCCCACGUUCGCAUGUCUUUGUUUUCCAUCCAGUUUGUCAAAAUGGUGAGAAUGAUCGAAAGAUACGUAAAAAAUGAGAGAAAAACAACUCAGAACGGUGGAUCUCUUGGCUCACGCAUCGAUGAAGAACGCAGCCAACUGCGAUAAGUAGUGUGAAUUGCAGAAGACAGUGAAUCAUCGAAUCUUUGAACGCAAAUGGCGCUCUCGGGCCCUGGUCCCGGGAGCAUGUCUGUCUGAGGGUCGAAUACACUAUGUGUCUUUCUUCUUUUGCGAGGAAAGACGGUGUUGAGGUGUCACGGCCGAAAAGGCCGUGUCCCUUGAAGUGCAGAAUGCCGGUGGACGACCGCGACUCGUUCAUCGCCCACCGACAGAGAGAGAGGAACAAAGACUCGAGUACGACCUCAGAUCAGGCAAGACUACCCGCUGAAUUUAAGCAUAUCAAUAAGCG
rnacentral:rRNA from 1 species